GACUUUACCAUCGGCUUUAACCCAAUUUAUACAUGCAAGUAUCCGCAUCCCUGUGAGAAUGCCCUCAAUCCCCCGCCCGGGGACGAGGAGCAGGCAUCAGGCACUUAAUUAUUGGCCCAAGACGCCUUGCUACGCCACACCCCCAAGGGAAUUCAGCAGUAAUAAACAUUAAGCAAUAAGUGAAAACUUGACUUAGUCAAGGCUAAGAGGGUCGGUAAAAUUCGUGCCAGCCACCGCGGUUAUACGAAAGACCCUAGUUGAUGGACACGGCGUAAAGGGUGGUUAAGGCAUAUAAUAAAUAAAGCUAAAUAGCCUCUAAGCCGUCGCACGCGCCCCGAGAGCUAGAAGCCCAUAAACGAAAGUAGCUUUAAAACUAGACACCUGACCCCACGAAAGCUAAGGAACAAACUGGGAUUAGAUACCCCACUAUGCUUAGCCAUAAACCAAGAUGUACACUUACACACGCAUCCGCCCGGGUACUACGAGCGCAGCUUAAAACCCAAAGGACUUGGCGGUGUCUCAGACCCACCUAGAGGAGCCUGUUCUAGAACCGAUAAACCCCGUUAAACCUCACCACUUCUUGUCUUUCCCGCCUAUAUACCGCCGUCGUCAGCUUACCCUGUGAAGGCCUAGCAGUAAGCAAAAUUGGCACACCCAAAAACGUCAGGUCGAGGUGUAGCGAAUGAAGUGGGAAGAAAUGGGCUACAUUUUCUAUAAACAGAAUACUACGGAUGGCACUAUGAAACAAGUGCCUGAAGGUGGAUUUAGUAGUAAAAAGUAAACAGUGCGUUCUUUUGAAUUAGGCUCUGAGACGCGCACACACCGCCCGUCACUCUCCCCCACAAUAUAAAUCUAAUUAAUCAAUAAUAAUAUAACCCUGAACCAAGGGGAGGCAAGUCGUAACAUGGUAAGUGUACCGGAAGGUGCACUUGGAAUAAU
rnacentral:ncRNA from 1 species